ACGGAAGGCAGCAGUGGGGAAUAUUGCACAAUGGGCGCAAGCCUGAUGCAGCGAUGCCGCGUGAGGGAAGAAGGUUUUCGGAUUGUAAACCUCUGUCAACAGGGACGAAAUAGACGGUACCUGUGAAGGAAGCUCCGGCUAACUACGUGCCAGCAGCCGCGGUAAUACGUAGGGAGCAAGCGUUAUCCGGAUUUACUGGGUGUAAAGGGCGUGUAGGCGGGACAGCAAGUCAGAUGUGAAAGCACGAGGCUCAACUUCGUGUCUGCAUUUGAAACUGCUGUUCUUGAGUGCUGGAGAGGCUAACGGAACUCCUAGUGUAGCGGUGAAAUGCGUAGAUAUUAGGAAGAACACCAGUGGCGAAGGCGGUUAGCUGGACAGUAACUGACGCUGAGGCGCGAAAGCGUGGGUAGCAAACAGGAUUAGAUACCCUGGUA
rnacentral:rRNA from 1 species